rnacentral:lncRNA from 1 species
GGCUGAAUUGGUUAAUUAUUGGUGUCUUGACCCACCUAAACCCACGUUCAAUUCUCUCUUGCUCCCAUUAUUUCCCCUAUAUUUUUUAUUGGGCCAUAGCCCAUUGUUUAAACUUUGGCAAUAAUUGUUUUGAAAGUAAAUAAAUUAUUUAUUUUCACUUGUUUUCUCUAGUCUCCAAGUCAAUUUGUUUGCAAAUUAAGUAUAUAACUUUGUAAACAAAUAAAAAUGAUAAAAAAAAAUGUCUUAAACGCAGUUUGAAAACUUUGUUCAAGUAUAUAUUUUAUAUGAAGUGCAAAAAUAUUUUAAAACAUAUAUUGAUUUUUUUUAUAAGUUG